UUCCGGUUGAUCCUGCCGGAGGCUACCGCUAUUGGGAUUCGACUAAGCCAUGCGAGUCGAGAGGGUUCGGCCCUCGGCAGACGGCUCAGUAACACGUGGAUAAUCUGCCCUUAGGUGGAGGAUAACCUCGGGAAACUGAGAAUAAUACUCCAUAGAUCUAGGAUGCUGGAAUGCACUUAGAUUGAAAGUUCCGGCGCCUAAGGAUGAGUCUGCGGACUAUCAGGUAGUAGUCAGGGUAAAGGCCUGACUAGCCUACGACGGAUACGGGUUGUGAGAGCAAUAACCCGGAGACGAUAUCUGAGACACGAUAUCGGGCCCUACGGGGCGCAGCAGGCGCGAAACCUUCACAAUGUGCGAAAGCGCGAUGAGGGGAUCCCAAGUGCUUGCUCGUAAGAGUAAGCUGUUUUUAUGUCUAAAACGCAUAGAGAGUAAGGGCUGGGUAAGACGGGUGCCAGCCGCCGCGGUAAUACCUGCAGCUCAAGUGGUGACCGCUAUUAUUGGGCCUAAAACAUUCGUAGCCGGUUUGGUAAAUGCCUGGGUAAAUCGUGUAGCUUAACUAUACGAAUUCCGGGUAGACUGCCAAACUUGAGACCGGGAGAAGCUAGAGGUACUCCUUGGGUAGAGGUGAAAUUCUGUAAUCCUAGGGGGACCACCAGUGGCGAAGGCGUCUAGCUAGAACGGGUUUGACGGUGAGGAAUGAAGCCCUGGGGCGCAAACCGGAUUAGAUACCCGGGUAGUCCAGGGUGUAAACGCUGCUUGCUUGAUGUUAGUUGGGCUCCGAGCCCAAUUAGUGUCGGAGAGAAGUUGUUAAGCAAGCUGCCUGGGAAGUACGAUCGCAAGAUUGAAACUUAAAGGAAUUGGCGGGGGAGCACAGCAACGGGUGGAGCGUGCGGUUUAAUUGGAUCAACGCCGGA
rnacentral:rRNA from 1 species